GUGAAUCAUCGAAUCUUUGAACGCAAAUUGCACUCUCUUCGCAUAGUAUGCCUGUUUGUGGGUCAGCCUCAAAAAAAUCGACAUAGUCCCUGUUUCGCGGUGACACUCGUCGGAAAUUGGGUCAUCUUAAACCUUUUGGUUUUAAACGGCUUAAAAUUUUCUUUUCUACUCCACGAACGUUUCUAAGAUUUACUUACACGUUUAGCGUAUCGA
rnacentral:misc_RNA from 1 species